UCUUAUCUACUAGAUACUCUAUUCUGUACUUAAUUGUAUGGGAUAUCACCUAGCCAGUGGAACUUUGGUGAAAUAAUGCCUUUUUUAAUACCAGAGUGUAAAUACUUGAAGUGUUAAAUUGGGAUAACAUUAUUUUAUUGAAGUGGGGUUCUAGUUAAUUUACUUUGAGUAAAUUAGAGUGUUCAAAGCAGCCUCUUGGGGCUUUGAAUAGAUUUAGCAUGGGAUAAUAGAAUAGGAUUUGAUAAUCUAUUUGUUGGUUUGAAUUAAUCAAAUAAUGAUUAAUAGGGACAGUUGGGGCGAUUCAUAUUAAGUGGUUAGCGGUGAAAUGUGUGGACCCACUUAAGAUGAACUAAAGCGAAAGCAUUUGCCAAGGAUGUUUUCAUUAAUCAAGAACGAAAGUUAAGGGAUCGAAGACGAUAGAUACCGUCGUAGUCUUGACUGU
rnacentral:rRNA from 1 species